GCCAGCCCAACAGCACCUACAGUGUGGUGACUCACGCAGAGCAGUAACUUGGCAGUGCAAGGCGAGCUGUGUGCAGGAACCCGGCACGUGUCGUGUGGCGUGGAAGAGUGAGCAGGCAGUCAGCCUCGGAACGUUCUAUGAGCCGUGACAUCGGCUCGAUUCCACGGUGAGGGCGAUGGCAGACCACUCACAGUUACGAUCGGUGGAGACUGCAUCCUCCAGUUGACUGCUCCAAACUGCUGCCUCAGACUGCAUCUAAGCUCCUGUCUCCUCCUGCCUCAUAGUCCUCUCUCCUUCCAGCCACAUCCUUUCCUGUGUUAGGAUAUAUCCACCUCCCUAGUGUUAGGAUUAAAGGGGCAGCCCUGGAGCAAGGUCAAUUUCGUGACCUCCUUCCUGCCACCCCGCCCCCUCCUGACUCUCUCAGCUCCCCAGAGGCUGCUAAACUGCGACAACUGCAGCUGCUACUGUUUCCUGACUCUGGAGGAGAAAGCAGGCUUAGGGCCAGGUCUACUGUCCAGGGCUUCCAUGGAAGAUGCUGGAGGAGAGCAGCACCUCGUCUGUCAACAUCACUGACCUCUGCAGAGCAUCUGGACUGCAGCAUGCACAGUCCAGAGGUUCAGCCUGUGCUUUUCUGCUCCUGGCUUGGUUAUUCAAACCAAGCACUGGGAAGGCCGUGGUGGAGGUGGUGGUGGAGGUGAUGGCUGCGGUGGUGGCUGUCCUAGCACUUGGGAAGCAGAGGUAGGGGGAUCUCUGUGAGUUUGAGGCCAGUCUGGUCUACAAAGUAAGUGCCAGGACAGCCAGGGCUGUUACGUGGAGAGACCCUGUCUUGAAAAAACAAACAAACAAAAACAAAACAAAAAAGAAACAACAAGAAAAAAACCACAAGCUCUGGGUCCUUACUCUGGUAUUCAAGCAGAGAGUUGGCCGUCAAAUGCGAAUACGAAUGCGAAUACGAAUUAAGCAUCAUCCUCUCCUCCAGGCUGUUGGGACUAAGGGAUGCAUAUUAACCACCCCGUUCCCUGAACACUGUACCCUUCACCAGAGCUUGCACACUUCUUCUGGAUCCAAUAAUAUCUUUGCCCCUAUCGAAUAAAUCCAGGUUGACGCUUACAUUUCAGCUCGUAGUCGCAGCAUGCUGCAGAGUGAGUUCCUGUACUGGGAGAGGCUGGGGAGACAACACCUUGUCCUUAACCCAUCUCAGGAUUCUGUGCCCAAGAUCCGCAGUGUGGGCAGUGGUACACUGGAAGACAAGUAAGCUUUCAUCUGUCUCUAGCUCUGAGUGACAACCUCUUGUUGGGUGGGUGGGUAUGGCAGACGUGGUUGAGAGAACACAGAGCUGGGCUGAUAGAUAGAACUACAUGGGGGUGAAUUAGAUCACUAGAUUCCUGGGCACAGGCCCGAGCCUCAUCCUUCUGAUUCUAGAGGAAGCUUCAAAAUAGAGCAAGCAUUUAUGUUUUGUUUUCCUCUGUAAUUUUGGAGCCUAUCCUGGAACUAGUUCUUGUAGACCAGGCUGACCUCAAACUCACAGAGAUCUACCUGCCUCUGAGUGCUGGGAUUAAGGGCAUGCACCUACUGCCUGGCAAGCAAGGAUGCUUUUGUCCAACAGGUAUUUAUGAACGUCGUUACUUGACUGGCACUGAUACCUGAUGUGCUGGGUGCUGGUGGGCAGGGUCCUGUGUAGAUGAUUAUGAGGUGAAGAGGAGAUUUACUAGGACACUAAGAGUUCAGCAGAAAGAAGAGAGGUGGAGCUCAGCUGGUAGUGUGCCUGGCUAGCAUGCAAUGCACGAAGCCUGGGACUGACCCCUAGUACCCCAUAAACUAUGUGUGGUGGUACCAGCCUGUAAUUCUAGCACUGAGGAGGUCGAGGCAGGAAAAACCGAAGUUUGAGGUCAUCCUUGGUUACAUAGUGACUUUGAGGUCAGUGGGGGCUUUAUGAGAUUGCCUCUAGAAGAGGAGUCAUUGGGUGAGAGCAACGAUUCCCUCAUCCAAAACCAACCUCUGAACAGGCGGUACACCGAAGACCUUCCUAGGCGGGAAGAAUGCUUCACCACGGAUGACAGCCAAGGUGGCUCCCAGGAUGAAGCCCUCCAAAUCACUAUGUUGCCAGCAGGCUAGCAAGGCUGAAGAGACAAGAGGUUGACAGACUAGUCACUUCUGAAGUCGGUCACAUAAGUUACGGUGGAGGAAGGCUAGGACGCUCCAAGACGAGGCCCUAUUCUACUCCCCAAGGGACAUUUAGUCAAUAGCUUAGGCUAGGUAGGUACCUCGGGGCUAGGCAGAGGGCUAGCUAGCAAACACCAUGGGGAAGCCUAGCGUGAUCUGAGACCUGGAGGAUACUAACUUAGAAUCCUGAGA